rnacentral:rRNA from 1 species
GGAUGAACGCUGGCGGCGUGCCUACCACAUGCAAGUCGAACGAAGCGCCUUACCGGAUUCUUCGGAUGAAGGUCUGGUGACUGAGUGGCGGACGGGUGAGUAACGCGUGGGUAACCUGCCCUGUACAGGGGGAUAACAGCUGGAAACGGCUGCUAAUACCGCAUAAGCGCACGUGGAGACAUCUCCUUGUGUGAAAAACUCCGGUGGUACAGGAUGGGCCCGCGUCUGAUUAGCUGGUUGGCAGGGUAACGGCCUACCAAGGCAACGAUCAGUAGCCGGUCUGAGAGGAUGAACGGCCACAUUUGAACUGAGACACGGCCCAAACUCCUACGGGAUGAAGCAGUGGGGAAUAUUGCACCAUGGGGGAAACCCUGAAGCAGCAACGCCGCGUGAGUGAAGAAGUAUUUCGGUAUGUAAAGCUCUAUCAGCAGGGAAGAUAAUGACGGUACCUGACUAAGAAGCGCCGGCUAAAUACGUG